CAAGCAACCUAGCAACUAGCUCCACUCUCCGGAAGUGGUUACUCAGAUUUCCGGCAACAAGGCGCACCGCCAAGCGGAAAUCCCGCCUACAGCAAACAGACAGGACCUUCUGUCCAACAGGGGUCCAAACCUUCUGGAAGGGUGGGAAAGACUUUGGCCGACUAGGAUCCCAUAAGACUGACAGAUGAGCUUUGCACUUCCUUACUUGGCACUAGCAGAAGUAGAGCACAACUGAUGCUGAGGUGGGACCCUCUGACAUUACAAGAAACACUCUGCAGGGAUGUGGGGACAGGAGAGAUGGCACUGAUGAACAGAUGACUCCAAUUCCUCUCAAUGCUUCCUUCUCUCA